UUGUUUGUAACCUUUUGUACGUUUGUUUUGUUGUUUGUAAUUAAUUAAUAACAUUUUUCAAUUUUCACGUGUAUUUUAAUUACAAAAUCCAGUUUGUUAUAACAGUGACACUAAUUGUAUCAUAAUUCCUUUUCACAUCUUUGAUCGUAAUCAUAACUCUUAAGCAUUCUGAACAAUUAACUUAUGAAGGAAAAUUCCUUGGAAGUCACUACCGUAAAAAUAUUUUGGACUUCACAGGCCUACAAAGAAAAUAUCUUAAACCUAUGGAGUUUUCUCCCAGUGUUUUGGCUUUUGACUAAUGAAGAAAAAUUAAGGAAGUGGGCACCACAAUGUUGUUCCAGGAUUGUUUUUUCCAAAUCAUCGUUAUAUUGAAAAGGUAGGAUUAAUUUUUUACCUUUUACUUUCUCUAUUAUUAAAUUAGCUGGAAAUAUCAAAAUGUACUAGGGCUGUAGUGAGCCAUUAAUAAAAGGAAUUUUAUAGUUGGAAAUUACUGAGGUGUACUUUCAAACCCCAGUUUAAUAGUGUUGUAUUUAUUUUUUCACAAACUAAAUUCUCCUUUAUUUAACCAGCUGAAAGCACCAAAAUGUAUUAAAGUUGUUAUGAAGCAUCAGUAAAAAUAAUUUUAUGGUUGAAAAUGACGCGGGGUUCACUUGCAACCCUCUACUUAAAUAUGUAUCGUUUUUAUUUCUUGAUAAAUGAAUUUCUCCCUUAAUACACCAACUAAAAAUACCUAAAGUUGUGAAGCAUCGCUAAAAAGAAUUUUAUAGUUAGAAAUUAACAUCUCCUUAUACAUAUCAGUAGCAGAAAGUGUCAAACGUUUAAUCCUCAAUCUAACGCUGUUUUUUUUAUAAAUAAAUUAAUCUCUCCCUUAUCACACGAGUUGAAACUUUCAAAAUUAGUAUUAGUUAAAAAGAUUAAAGUAGUUGAAAUUACCGGGGUGCACUUUCGAAUUUUAAUUUAAAGACAUAGCUUUUAUUUCUCGAUAAAUUAAAGGGAUGCACACAUAUAAAAUUGUGGCUGAAAUUUACUAAUCAAUAUUUUAAACCCUUUUUCUGAAAACGGAGACUACUGAAAGAAGUUUAACUCUUACUGCUGUCUGACGAUGAGAAUACUCUGCAGUACAGUGGGUUGCAUAUAUGAAGGACUAGCAAUUAUGAGCAGUGUUUGAAAUAAUUAAAUUUAAAUUAUCAUAAUGCCUUCGCGGGAAAUAAAAUGAGUGCGCUGUAGUCUAAUUAAAGAUAGAAAUGUUACAGUGUGAGUCGGAAUUUGUAAGCAACUAAAUUUUCGGAUUUUAAUAAAAUAAUCUAAAUAUAUUUGAUAUAUCAGCAGUCUAUGAAAGUAAUUAUGAUUUUACAACACAACAGUGUUGAUGUAUAUGAAUGUUUUUCUCUUUGUUUUGUAUAUUUCUCUAAUGUGGGCAUUUUUACCUCGUAUCCUGUACAUUACAUUUUUUUAUACGAUUUCUGAUAGAGAAAGAUGUUUAUAGUUAAGA